GGCCACUCAAAUCCGUCUAUUGAUACUACUACACUCAGCGGCUCGAAAUGGAUGGGUUGUGUUGGGUUGGGGAUAAGCUACGGUUUUGGUUUUGGUUUUGGUUUUGCUAAACGAUGCGGUUGGUUAAGUAGUUAGUUAUCCUGCGCGUGGUUUGGACUUGCAUAUUUAAUAUAACUAGUUAGUUAACUACUGCUGAUCAGUGAAGUUAUUAUAUUAAACCUUGAUUGAUUGAGCUGUCCUUAUGUCAAACAUGGAGAAAUAGUUUCGCAGAAGGAUUUUUUUUAAAGAAAAAAAUAAAAAAAAACAUAAAAAGGGAGAGAGCGACAUGGAUAAGUUAGAAUGCAUAAUAGGCAGGCAGAUCGAUAUAAAGAAGACCAAUUUAACCCAUAAGUCAAUAAGUCAUUGCAUUAUUAAACACAUGAAAAAAAAAAAAAAACAUCAGUUACAUAUUAAUCAAACAAAAGCAACACGAGCGGG
rnacentral:sRNA from 2 species